rnacentral:rRNA from 1 species
CCUACGGGCGGCAGCAGUGAGGAAUAUUGGUCAAUGGACGCAAGUCUGAACCAGCCAUGCCGCGUGCAGGAAGACGGCUCUAUGAGUUGUAAACUGCUUUUGUACGAGGGUAAAUCCCGAUACGUGUAUCGGGUUGAAAGUAUCGUACGAAUAAGGAUCGGCUAACUCCGUGCCAGCAGCCGCGGUAAUACGGAGGAUUCAAGCGUUAUCCGGAUUUAUUGGGUUUAAAGGGUGCGUAGGCGGUUCGAUAAGUUAGAGAUGAAAUCCCGGGGCUCAACUCCGGCACUGCCUCUGAUACUGUCGGGCUAGAGUUUAGUUGCGGUAGGCGGAAUGUAUGGUGUAGCGGUGAAAUGCUUAGAUAUUGCGCAGAACUCCGAUUGCGAAGGCAGCAUACCGGCGGCGAUCUGACGCUGAGGCACGAAAGCGUGGGUAUCGAACAGGAUUAGAUACCCCAGUAGUC